rnacentral:tRNA from 1 species
UACAUUUGACUGGAUUUGAACCAGUGAUAAACGGAUUAUGAGUCCGGUGUCUUUAACCACUCGACCACAAAUGC